GCUUGCUCUUAUGAAGUUAGCGGCGGACGGGUGAGUAACACGUGGGUAACCUGCCCAUAAGACUGGGAUAACUCCGGGAAACCGGGGCUAAUACCGGAUAACAUUUUGAACCGCAUGGUUCGAAAUUGAAAGGCGGCUUCGGCUGUCACUUAUGGAUGGACCCGCGUCGCAUUAGCUAGUUGGUGAGGUAACGGCUCACCAAGGCAACGAUGCGUAGCCGACCUGAGAGGGUGAUCGGCCACACUGGGACUGAGACACGGCCCAGACUCCUACGGGAGGCAGCAGUAGGGAAUCUUCCGCAAUGGACGAAAGUCUGACGGAGCAACGCCGCGUGAGUGAUGAAGGCUUUCGGGUCGUAAAACUCUGUUGUUAGGGAAGAACAAGUGCUAGUUGAAUAAGCUGGCACCUUGACGGUACCUAACCAGAAAGCCACGGCUAACUACGUGCCAGCAGCCGCGGUAAUACGUAGGUGGCAAGCGUUAUCCGGAAUUAUUGGGCGUAAAGCGCGCGCAGGUGGUUUCUUAAGUCUGAUGUGAAAGCCCACGGCUCAACCGUGGAGGGUCAUUGGAAACUGGGAGACUUGAGUGCAGAAGAGGAAAGUGGAAUUCCAUGUGUAGCGGUGAAAUGCGUAGAGAUAUGGAGGAACACCAGUGGCGAAGGCGACUUUCUGGUCUGUAACUGACACU
rnacentral:rRNA from 1 species